UACGUAGGGUGCGAGCGUUGUCCGGAAUUAUUGGGCGUAAAGGGCUCGUAGGCGGUUUGUCGCGUCGUUCGUGAAAACUCACAGCUUAACUGUGAGCUUGCGGUCGAUCGGGCAGGCUAGAGUUCGGUAGGGGGAGACUGGAAUUCCUGGUGUAGCGGUGAAAUGCGCAGAUAUCAGGAGGAACACCGGUGGCGAAGGCGGUUCUCUGGGCAUGUCCUGACGCUGAGGCGCGAAAGCUAGGGGAGCAAACGGG
rnacentral:rRNA from 1 species